rnacentral:rRNA from 1 species
AGUGAACGCUGGCGGUAGGCCUAACACAUGCAAGUCGAACGGCAGCACAGUAAGAGCUUGCUCUUACGGGUGGCGAGUGGCGGACGGGUGAGGAAUACAUCGGCAUCUACUUUUUCGUGGGGGAUAACGUAGGGAAACUCACGCUAAUACCGCAUACGACCUACGGGUGAAAGCAGGGGAUCUUCGGACCUUGCGCGAUUGAAUGAGCCGAUGUCGGAUUAGCUAGUUGGCGGGGUAAAGGCCCACCAAGGCGACGAUCCGUAGCUGGUCUGAGAGGAUGAUCAGCCACACUGGAACUGAGACACGGUCCAGACUCCUACGGGAGGCAGCAGUGGGGAAUAUUGGACAAUGGGCGCAAGCCUGAUCCAGCCAUACCGCGUGGGUGAAGAAGGCCUUCGGGUUGUAAAGCCCUUUUGUUGGGAAAGAAAAGCAGCAGGUUAAUACCCCGCUGUUCUGACGGUACCCAAAGAAUAAGCACCGGCUAACUUCGUG